rnacentral:rRNA from 1 species
GGUGAACGCUGGCGGCGUGCCUAAUACAUGCAAGUCGAGCGAACGGACGAGAAGCUUGCUUUUCUGAUGUUAGCGGCGGACGGGUGAGUAACACGUGGAUAACCUACCUAUAAGACUGGGAUAACUUCGGGAAACCGGAGCUAAUACCGGAUAAUAUUUUGAACCGCAUGGUUCAAAAGUGAAAGACGGUCUUGCUGUCACUUAUAGAUGGAUCCGCGCUGCAUUAGCUAGUUGGUAAGGUAACGGCUUACCAAGGCAACGAUGCAUAGCCGACCUGAGAGGGUGAUCGGCCACACUGGAACUGAGACACGGUCCAGACUCCUACGGGAGGCAGCAGUAGGGAAUCUUCCGCAAUGGGCGAAAGCCUGACGGAGCAACGCCGCGUGAGUGAUGAAGGUCUUCGGAUCGUAAAACUCUGCUAUUAGGGAAGAACAUAUGUGUAAGUAACUGUGCACAUCUUGACGGUACCUAAUCAGAAAGCCACGGCUAACUACGUG